CCUUCGGGGACAUUGGUGACAGGUGGUGCAUGGUUGUCGUCAGCUCGUGUCGUGAGAUGUUGGGUUAAGUCCCGCAACGAGCGCAACCCUUGUCUUUAGUUGCCAUCAUUAAGUUGGGCACUCUAGAGAGACUGCCAGGGAUAACCUGGAGGAAGGUGGGGAUGACGUCAAAUCAUCAUGCCCCUUAUGCUUAGGGCUACACACGUGCUACAAUGGGUAGUACAGAGGGUUGCCAAGCCGUAAGG
rnacentral:rRNA from 1 species